AACGCGAAGAACCUUACCUGGGCUCGAACGGCUUUGGAUCAUCUUUGGAAACAGAGACUUCCCGCAAGGGACCGGAGUCGAGGUGCUGCAUGGCUGUCGUCAGCUCGUGUCGUGAGAUGUUGGGUUAAGUCCCGCAACGAGCGCAACCCUUGUCCUGUGUUGCCACUCCCGUAAGGGAAGCACUCUCAGGAGACCGCCAGCGAUAAGUUGGAGGAAGGUGGGGAUGAUGUCAAGUCAUCAUGGCCUUUAUGUCCAGGGCUACACACGUGCUACAAUGGACGGUACAAAGCGCUGCAAACCCGCGAGGGGGAGCCAAUCGCAAAAAACCGUUCUCAGUUCGGAUCGCAGGCUGCAACUCGCCUGCGUGAAGCUGGAAUCGCUAGUAAUGGCGUAUCAGAACGAUGCCGUGAAUACGUUCCCGGGCCUUGUA
rnacentral:rRNA from 1 species